AUUGAACGCUGGCGGCAUGCCUUACACAUGCAAGUCGAACGGUAACGCGGGGCAACCUGGCGACGAGUGGCGAACGGGUGAGUAAUGCAUCGGAACGUGCCCAUUAGUGGGGGAUAGCCCGGCGAAAGCCGGAUUAAUACCGCAUACGACCUACGGGUGAAAGCAGGGGAUCGCAAGACCUUGCGCUAUUGGAGCGGCCGAUGUCAGAUUAGGUUGUUGGUGGGGUAAAAGCCACCAAGCCGACGAUCUGUAGCUGGUCUGAGAGGACGACCAGCCACACUGGGACUGAGACACGGCCCAGACUCCUACGGGAGGCAGCAGUGGGGAAUUUUGGACAAUGGGCGCAAGCCUGAUCCAGCCAUGCCGCGUGCGGAAGAAGGCCUGG
rnacentral:rRNA from 1 species